ensembl:lncRNA
UGUGAGGCCAGCCUGGGCUAUGGGGUGAGUUCAAGCCCAGCCUAGACUACACAGCAAGACCCUGUCUCAUAGCAACAACAAAAAAAGAUCUUAUUCCUUCUCUUCCCACUGAUAGCCCUUGUUGUUGGUAUAUCCCAAUCACCAUAUUUUUUGUGUUUGGCUUUUUUCUCCUUGUAUCUGUUUCUUUGAGUCUCCCUUCUGAGAAGUGCUGUCCACAUUCAGUCCAGCCCUGCCCUGAAGAAGAGGGGUCAGCAGACACUGCCCAUCCUGGUGAAAGGCAGAGUUCACACUAGCCGGGUGUUCACAUUUCCAGGUUUCUUUGUGAAUCCUAGGAGAAACAGAGCAUGGGCUCUGCCUGUCCCGCGUGCCUGUCCCCUGGGCCUGUCCCAAACCACAUGUGGUUUCCCAUCAGCUGUGUCCAACAGUAGGGGAGCACAGCUUGGCAACCAGAAACAGUGGAAGGGAAACUCAGUGCCCUCAGAUGGGGACCCUCUCCCGACCUCAGUGGCCUCCUGCAGAGGUGUGAACAGCGCAGAGGGGCUGUCUGUACGCUGAAGAUCCGAAGGAUCCAGUGGAAGGCCCGGAGCUCACUGUGGUUCCCGUGCAAGUCCAUAUCAGGAAGCCAGGAGAUGACGUCCAAGUGAAGAAACUGCUCUCGAGCACUGUAACAUUGACCAUGGUGAUGGCUGCACGGACUGCAAGACAACAUUGAAAAUCAUGGACUCAUACGAGUGCAGGAGGUAGGAACUGGAUGGGGUGUAAAUUCCAUCUCAAGUGAGCUGCUUACACUUUGGAAAGAAGAUGGGGAAGGAAAUCAACCAGGACGUCCUACUCUUUUGACACAUAGAAGCCUGGCUCUGACCUUCUCCCCAUUUUGAAAUCUCUGCCCACUGGCCUCCCCGGGAGCCCAGGGUUUGAGCCCGGAGCACCGAGUCCCUGCGCCCCCGGAGAGCUCAGCAGCUGCACGGCAAUGUGGUUAGGGACACUGUGCCACCCACCGUCCAGGAGCUUGCUGUGUAAUUCAGGCUGGCCUUGAACUCAUAGAGAUCUUCAUGCCUCAGCCUCUGAAGUGCUGAGCUCACAGGCAUGUGCCACCACGCC